AUUGAACGCUGGCGGUAUGCUAACACAUGCAAGUCGAACGGUAGCAUGACUUAGCUUGCUAAGUUGAUGACGAGUGGCGAACGGGUGAGUAACGCGUAGGAAUAUGCCUUAAAGUGGGGGACAACUUGGGGAAACUCAAGCUAAUACCGCAUAAUUUCUUAGGAAAAAAGCUGGGGACCUUCGGGCCUGGCGCUUUAAGAUUAGCCUGCGUACGAUUAGCUAGUUGGUAGGGUAAAGACCUACCAAGGCGACGAUCGUUAGCUGGUCUGAGAGGAUGACCAGCCACACUGGAACUGAGACACGGUCCAGACUCCUACGGGAGGCAGCAGUGGGGAAUAUUGGACAAUGGGGGCAACCCUGAUCCAGCAAUACCGCGUGUGUGAAGAAGGCCUGAGGGUUGUAAAGCACUUUCAGUGGGGAGGAGAGUAUUUAGGUUAAGAGCUAGAAUACUGGACGUUACCCACAGAAGAAGCACCGGCUAACUCUGUGCCAGCCGCCGCGGUAA
rnacentral:rRNA from 1 species